rnacentral:lncRNA from 1 species
UUGAUUCGUACCAUACAAGUCGUAUAAGCCGAGAAUCUAUCGCGGACUUUAAAUCGGUACGAGUCAGGAAGAAAUCGCAACAGGAAAAAUGAUAGCCGGCUAGUCACCGCACAAACCUUAAACCGAAAGUAAACCUAGGUCUUGCCCUAAACCCAUCGCAUUGGUCUCAAACAUCUCAAGACAUGAUAUCUAAAUGAUACGAGAUCUUAAACCAUGUCUCUCCGUUCACAUCUCAAUGUUCCCG